rnacentral:rRNA from 1 species
GUGUCAGCAGCCGCGGUAAUACAGAGGGUGCGAGCGUUAAUCGGAAUUACUGGGCGUAAAGCGCACGUAGGUGGCUUUGCAAGUCGAUUGUGAAAUCCCCGGGCUUAACCUGGGAACUGCAGUCGAGACUGCUUUGCUUGAGUAUGGGAGAGGGAGGUGGAAUUUCCGGUGUAGCGGUGAAAUGCGUAGAUAUCGGAAGGAACAUCAGUGGCGAAGGCGACCUCCUGGACCAAUACUGACACUCAAGUGCGAAAGCGUGGGGAGCAAACAGGAUUAGAUACCCCCGUAGUCC